AGGUGGGAAAGGGAGAAUUCCAAGCUAUACAUACAGAGUAGCAAUGGUCAAUCCAGUUACAAAGAAAAGAUUGAGUUUGCAACCUACUUCGCAGAGGAAAUAUCUAAAGGGCUGCUCUUUGAGAUGCCGGAUCAGAUCCCUUCCCUCGCUGAGCUCAUUAAAAUUGGUAGCUUACUGGAUUUCGACGAUGGCGCUGUUGGGUUCUUGCAUAAGUCCAACAAUCUUCAGCUGUUCCCUGAAGACGAGGAUUUCCUGAAGUCUUCAUUGCUAGGUGGUAUCAAGAAUAACUAGCGAUCUGCAGAUUAUUCUCUUUCGAUCAUGUUCACGGUUUCUGAAUGCUGAUGGCCUAAAUAAAAAUCUGGUGCUGUGCUUGGAGGCUUCUGAAUGUGACUGCAGGGGUGUCUUCCGAGCUGUUGUGCCCAUCUUAUGAUAGUCAAUCUGUUCCUUUUUCUCUUGUUUAUUUAAGUUAGUUUCUCUGUAUCCUGGAACAGAUCUUGUCAGUAGUUUCAGUGCAGAUCUUUAUCCAAGUGCAAGAUGACA